UUACGGCCAUAUCGUUUUGAAACUCCGAUUCUCACAAGAUCACCAAAGUUAAGCAAUGUCGAGCCUGGUCAGUGUCGAUAUGGGUGACUGCUUGGGAAUAACAGAUGCUGUAAG